GCGGCGGUGGUGGAAUUGGUAGACACGCAAGGUUGAGGGCCUUGUGGGCGUAAGCCCGUGAGGGUUCGAGUCCCUCCCGCCGCA
rnacentral:tRNA from 1 species